rnacentral:rRNA from 1 species
AUGCCGGCCAAUUCCGCACCUGGAAUUUUCUCAAUAAAAUGCGGAGACCCGCUGUAAGAUUUGGUCGUAAAGUUCUGUUGUUAGGUAGGAAACAAGUACUCGAAUAGGGCGGUCCUUGACCGGUAUCUAACAGAAAAACCACGACAAACUCSUCCAGCACGCGGUAAUAUAUAGGUGCCAAGCUGUUCCGGAUAUAUAUGGGCGUAAAGGGGCUCGCACGGCCGGUUCUUAAUCUGAUGUGAAAAACCCCCGGCUCCACCCCGGCGGGUCAUUGGAAACUGGGGAACUUGAGUGCAGAAGAAGAAGAGGUGGGAUUUCCCCUGUASCGGUGAAAAGCGUAGAGAUGUGGAGGAAMACCAGUGGCGAAGGCGGCUCUCUUGGUCUGUUACUGACGCUGAGGAGCGAAAGCGUGGGGAGCGAACAGGAUUAGAUACCUGGUUGUCCCGCCGUAAACGAUGAGUUAAGUGUUAGGGGGUUUUCGCCCCUUAGUGCUGCAGCUAACGCAUUAAGCACUCCGCCUGGGGAGUACGGUCGCAAGACUGAAAACUCAAAGGAAUUGACGGGGGCCCGCACCAGCGUGGAGCAUGUGGUUUAAUUGAAGCAACGCGAAGAACCUACCAGGUCUUGACAUCCUCUGACAAUCCUAGAGAUAGGACGUCCCUUCGGGGGCAGAGUGACAGGUGGUGCAUGGUUGUCGUCAGCUCGUGUCGUGAGAUGUUGGGUUAAGUCCCGCAACGAGCGCAACCCUUGAUCUUAGUUGCCAGCAUUCAGUUGGGCACUCUAAGGUGACUGCCGGUGACAAACCGAGGAAGGUGGGGAUGACGUCAAAUCAUCAUGCCCCUUAUGACCUGGGCUACACACGUGCUACAAUGGACAGAACAAAGGGCAGCGAAACCGCGAGGUUAAGCCAAUCCCACAAAUCUGUUCUCAGUUCGGAUCGCAGUCUGCAACUCGACUGCGUGAAGCUGGAAUCGCUAGUAAUCGCGGAUCAGCAUGCCGCGGUGAAUACGUUCCCGGGCCUUGUACACACCGCCCGUCACACCACGAGAGUUUGUAACACCGAAGUCGGUAGGUAACCUCUUAGGAGCCAGCGCUCGAUCGUGUACAACU